rnacentral:rRNA from 1 species
UUUCGCAAUGCCCGAAAGGGUGACGAAGCGACGCCGCGUGAGUGAGGAAGGCCUUCGGGUUGUAAAGCUCUGUCAGGAGUUAAGAAAUAUAAGCGUGUUAAUACCACAUUUAUUUGACGAAGGCUCCAAAGGAAGCCACGGCUAACUCUGUGCCAGCAGCCGCGGUAAUACAGAGGUGGCAAGCGUUGUUCGGAAUUAUUGGGCGUAAAGAGCACGUAGGUGGGUUUGUAAGUCAGAUGUGAAAGCCUUCUGUUCAACGGAAGAAUUGCACCUGAAACUGCGAGUCUUGAGUGUAGGAGGGGAGAAUGGAACUUCUGGUGGAGCGGUGAAAUGCGUAGAUAUCAGAAGGAACGCCGGCGGCGAAAGCGAUUCUCUGGCCUAUUACUGACACUCAGUGUGCGAAAGCUAGGGGAGCAAACGGGAUUAGAUACCCCGGUAGUCCUAGCUGUAAACGAUGGGCACUAAGUAGAGGGGUUUUA